GACAGAGGGUGCAAACGUUGCUCGGAAUCACUAAACGUAAAAAACGUGUAGGCGGGAAGGAUAGUCAGAUGUGAAAUCCCUGGGCUCAACCCAGGAACUGCAUUUGAAACUCCCUUUCUUAAAUGUCGGAGAGGAAAGUGGAAUUCCUAAUGUAGAGGUGAAAUUCGUAGAUAUCAGAAAAAACACCGGUGGCGAAGGCGGCUUUCUGGACGACAACUGACGCUAAGACACGAAAACGUGAAAAGCAAACAAA
rnacentral:rRNA from 1 species